GGGAUCCGGUUAAAAUUCCGGAAC
rnacentral:snRNA from 1 species